rnacentral:rRNA from 1 species
UAGAGUUUGAUCCUGGCUCAGGACGAACGCUGGCGGCGUGCUUAACACAUGCAAGUCGAACGGUGAACCCCUUCGGGGGGGAUCAGUGGCGAACGGGUGAGUAACACGUGAGCAACCUGCCCCUGACUCUGGGAUAACCCCGGGAAACCGGAGCUAAUACCGGAUACGACCUGCUCGGGCAUCCGAUGCGGGUGGAAAGAUUUAUCGGCUAGGGAUGGGCCCGCGGCCUAUCAGCUUGUUGGUGGGGUAACGGCCUACCAAGGCGACGACGGGUAGCCGGCCUGAGAGGGCGACCGGCCACACUGGGACUGAGACACGGCCCAGACUCCUACGGGAGGCAGCAGUGGGGAAUAUUGCACAAUGGGCGAAAGCCUGAUGCAGCGACGCCGCGUGAGGGAUGACGGCCUUCGGGUUGUAAACCUCUUUCAGCAGGGACGAAGCGAAAGUGACGGUACCUGCAGAAGAAGCACCGGUCGGGCC